CUGCCUGAGGAGUACUCUGGCAAAAGGCAAGUGCACCUGAAGAAAAACUUCUUCCUGCACAACUGUUCAGCAGCACGUUCCGAGACCUUCAUCAACCUGCCAGAGGUGUGUAACCACUUCUGUCUUCCUCCUGGAGAAUAUCUCAUCAUCCUCUCCACCUUUGAGCCCAACAAGAACGCAGACUUUUAUGCGCUGGUGCUCUCUGAGAAGCAGGCUGAUUUCCAAGAGAUGGAUGAUCCUGUAGAGUGCCAUUUUGAAUUGAUACUGAUGAAGAUGACACCAGUGACAGGAUGUGAAGAUUUCUGCAUUUGAGCUGCAGAGAAACCUCAACUGAGGGGUGAUGAAGAGAGAUGACAUCAAAACCAGUGGGUUUAGCCUGACAACUUGCCGCAACAUGGUCAAUCUGCUGGAUAAAGAUGGAAGCAGCAAGGUGGGACUGGUAGAAUUUAAGAUCCUGUGGACAAAGAUUGAGAAUUUCCUGGUUUCUCUCUCAACAACCCUCUGCAUCAGAUCAUUGUGGCCCGCUACAGUGAACUAAACCUCACCAUUGACUUUGACAACUUUGUGGGCAGCCUGAUGCACUUAGAGUCACUCUUCAACACAUUCAAGACCCUGGACAAGGAUGGGUCUGGUGACAUAGAGUUGAGUUUUAUGGAGUGGCUGAAUCUGGUGCUGUUGUAGAGGAGCCCUGACUGUUAACAGUUGAAGAAUCCAGACUUGUGUUGAAGAGUCAUCAUAUCUGAAUAUUUGUCAGUUUGUGUCUUGUGUACAACUUAAUCAAUGGAUACUGAUCUUGAGGGGAAAGUAUUUCUAUGAGUUUGAUUAGCCACAAACAUAAUAAAGACACAAUGCCCCACAAA